CCUACGGGGGGCAGCAGUGGGGAAUAUUGCACAAUGGGCGCAAGCCUGAUGCAGCCAUGCCGCGUGUAUGAAGAAGGCCUUCGGGUUGUAAAGUACUUUCAGCGAGGAGGAAGGCAUUGUGGUUAAUAACCGCAGUGAUUGACGUUACUCGCAGAAGAAGCACCGGCUAACUCCGUGCCAGCAGCCGCGGUAAUACGGAGGGUGCAAGCGUUAAUCGGAAUUACUGGGCGUAAAGCGCACGCAGGCGGUCUGUCAAGUCGGAUGUGAAAUCCCCGGGCUCAACCUGGGAACUGCAUUCGAAACUGGCAGGCUAGAGUCUUGUAGAGGGGGGUAGAAUUCCAGGUGUAGCGGUGAAAUGCGUAGAGAUCUGGAGGAAUACCGGUGGCGAAGGCGGCCCCCUGGACAAAGACUGACGCUCAGGUGCGAAAGCGUGGGGAGCAAACAGGAUUAGAUACCCCAGUAGUC
rnacentral:rRNA from 1 species